rnacentral:rRNA from 1 species
GAGUUUGAUCAUGGUUCAGGACGAACGCGGGCGGCGUGCUUAACACAUGCAAGUCGAACGGGAGUAUUGAAGAAGCUUGCUUUAGAGAUACUUUAGUGGCGGACGGGUGAGUAACGCGUGAGGAGCUGUCCUAUGCAGGGGGACAACAGCUGGAAACGGCUGCUAAUACCCCAUAAGCCGAGAGGUAAAAGGAUCAAUCCGGCAGAGGAGGUACUCGCGUCCUAUCAGCUAGUAGGUGAGGUAACGGCUCACCUAGGCGAAGACGGGUAGCCGGCCUGAGAGGGCGAACGGCCACACUGGAACUGAGAUACGGUCCAGACUCCUACGGGAGGCAGCAGUGGGGAAUAUUGGGCAAUGGGGGAAACCCUGACCCAGCGACGCCGCGUGGGUGAAGAAAUCCUUCGGGAUGUAAAGCCCUGUUGUAUGGGAAGAGCGGAAGACGGUACCAUACGAGGAAGCCCCGGCAAACUACGUGCCAGCAGCCGCGGUAAUACGUAGGGGGCAAGCGUUGUCCGGAAUUACUGGGCGUAAAGCGCACGCAGGCUGACUUAUAAGUCGGUAGUCUAAUGCGGAGGCUCAACUUCCGUUUAUCUAUCGAUACUGUAAGACUAGAGUAUGUGAGAGGGAAGCGGAAUUCCCGGUGUAGCGGUGAAAUGCGUAGAUA